rfam:Gossypium hirsutum cultivar TM-1 chromosome 21, whole genome shotgun sequence
UGUUAAAAAUUUCAUGCAUUUGUACUAUUAAAACUAGGCAUAGUUGAUUGAAUAACCAAAAAAUGACAUAUGGCGUGUCACAUGUACCUUAUGUUGAAGUGCAAAGAUCAAUUUUUAACAGUAGAAAUAGAUGUAAUUUUUAACA